ACGAACGCUGGCGGCGUGCCUAAUACAUGCCAGUCGAGCGGACAGACGGGAGCUUGCUCCCUGAUGUUCGCGGCGGACGGGUGAGUAACACGUGGGUAACCUGCCUGUAAGACUGGGAUAACUCCGGGAAACCGGGGCUAAUACCGGAUGGUUGUCUGAACCGCAUGGUUCAGACAUAAAAGGUGGCUUCGGCUACCACUUACAGAUGGACCCGCGGCGCAUUAGCUAGUUGGUGAGGUAACGGCUCACCAAGGCAACGAUGCGUAGCCGACCUGAGAGGGUGAUCGGCCACACUGGGACUGAGACACGGCCCAGACGCCUACGGGAGGCAGCAGUAGGGAAUCUUCCGCAAUGGACGAAAGUCUGACGGAGCAACGCCGCGUGAGUGAUGAAGGUUUUCGGAUCGUAAAGCUCGGUUGUUAGGGAAGAACAAGUGCCGUUCAAAUAGGGCGGCACCUUGACGGUACCUAACCAGAAAGCCACGGCUAACUACGUG
rnacentral:rRNA from 1 species